GCCUCAGGGGGGGACUGGCAGUGGCUCCCAGGCCAGACAGAUCCCCAUGUACUAAUGAGAAGUGAAUGAAUUGAAAAAAGGGAGGGAGGGUGAGGCACAAAAACGAGAACAAACAGCUUGCAGUGCGGAGAUCAUAUAUGGACAGAGAACUGGAAGGGGCAUGUAUGAGGUGUGGGCUCCUGAAAGUCAGAUAAAUUAUCUCCAACUCGUGAAGGAAUUUCUGUUUUACAUCUGAGAGGUUGUUGUUUGACUCUGAAUAAACAGAUUGCAUGCAAUUGCUACUUUGACCCCAGUCUGAUGACAGACGGACUCUGUUUUAUUGCUGGCUUGAUGUACCAAGAUGGCAACUGAUUACAAUUGAUCACUUUGGAAUCUGGACUUCCUGGAAAAGGAGGAACGCUGGUUUGAGCUGGGAGUCAAGGAGGCCAUUUACAUGAAAAGGACCAUCUUUGACCAUCUUUGAACCAAGGAGGUGACCUAGAGGUGCUGCUCCGGUGCUUGAUGUUGCAGGCAGCAGCUCCCACCUCUAGGGAGAAGAAUAGUCUGCGAUGCGUUGGUGUAAGUGCUGCACCAGAACAGGAUCGGAAAGUCAGAAAUGUAAGAUCAAAGGUAAAAAGGGACAGAAGAUUAAAGAGGGCAAUAAGGCUGGCUGCAGCUGAAAUGAAUGGCUUUUAGCAUUGCUUUAUGCCGCUGCGAGGAAACAUUAUCAACUUUUUGCUUCCGUGUCUAUCAUCCAGCAGCAAAGGUGUGAAGGCAACUGUCAUCUUUUCUUUUCUUUUUUUUUCUUGCAAAACACCAUUAAGAGUUCUACUUUGUGCAUCAAUCUGAGAAGCCAAAGUGGGCGCAAAGUGUCUUCAUCCCCCCUGGCAAACACAAUUAUGUCUGAGUAUGAUUACAGAUCUGAUUAAACUGCAACUCUUUGUGGAUAAAUGGGCAACGCUGAUUACGAUCAACCUUUUAUCGCUUCAAAAUGGGUUGCCCUCAAGGUCCAAGUUGAGAGAGUUUCGGCUUUACAAAUUUCCCAAAUGAAGGAAACGUACUUGAGAGGUGUUCCCUGUCAAUGUGUGAAUGCGGGGUAGGGAUGCAAAUGGUUUUGUAAGAAUUUCAUUAGGCUGGUAUUAUUCAUCACUUUCUCAAAUGUAUCCUUGCUCAAAGUCAUUUUGCCAUAUUCCCUCAACAUAACUGAGAGUGCUUUAUUGUAUUACAAUCAGUACCAUCAGAGGGUUCACUGAGUGGAGUGGGUUGGGAAGUUAAAAAAAAACAACCCUUUUUAAAGGUUGAUUAAAUCAUUCAAUGAAGAACUGAUUAAACUGUCGGGAGUGUGGCGAAAUAGAGAGCAAGAAAAAGAGAGAGGUGAAUGCCAAAAUUCAUUUAUUUACCCCUAGGGUCAUUAAUUCUAUUUUCUCCCUCUGUAUGCACGACUGAUCCAACUAAACAGUGGCUUAAACAAGUGGCAAGACAAAACAAGGCAAUGGGCUCUGGAUGCUAAAUGGAAACUAAAUGAAAUUAAGUUAAAGGGGCAAACAAGCUAUGGUAAUUCAUACAUUCUCUCACUGUUAUUAAAAAGUGCUAAAAAAUGAGUUGAGUUUUAAUAAGUUAAAAAAAGUACCUCAGUACCUCACACUUGAUGAUUUAACAUACCAUAUAUGGUGACAGGUGAUGGAUUUCCAGUGACUCAGAGGUUGUAAACUGAAUGCUGUCCUGCCUACUCUAUUUCAAUUAACGCCUAACCGAAUGCCCAGCUGAUUGCUUUGCUGCGUCUUUUUUGUGCAGCUUCCAAUUUCGUUCUUUGUUAGAAUUAAUCAGCGCAAAGUACGUUUUGAUUUGUCAUGACCUAUGGCACGCACGGAACGGAAAAACAGACGUUGCCACGGCAGAAAAAUUGGGACCAAUCUCCGUUUCACUCAUUUGUCGAUACUUAUGCAGCACCGACUCAAUUUUCUUUUCUGUGACUUGAUUACAGAGAACGGUGGCAUGAGUUAACAGACUUCGAAAGAAGGCUUGAUACAGAUGACAGAACAUUGCCAUUUCGGGAGGCAGAGAGGUGUAAAAAGAUCGAGUGGAUGAACCCUUGGCAAUGUAGACAUAAAGUCCCUGACCUGGAGAUUUUAAAAUAAAGUCUGUCUUUUGUGAGUUUCCAGAGAUACAGAAAGGCUAGACAAAAUAUUCAUCAUCCAACGCUUUGGUGGGUGCCCUCGGUAUCGUUUACCAGGCACAUAGCCAAAAUGUGCUAUGUUUAGAAGGCAGUCUGGGGGUAUAUGAGAUACAUGGCCCAACCAUUCUGCCUGUUGUGCUCUGAUUUUGUGUAGCAGAUGCAUGUUGAUGGUGCUUCAGAGAUGUGCCAAGACCUCUGAACACUGGACAGCAUGUGUGUUUUUUUUCUGCCCAUUGCUGGUCCGCAACACAACAGUAAACACUGCAGUUAUUACAGAUUAUUACAGUCUUCGUGGCCCUGUAACUGAUCAAUUAUGGGGUACAAUGAGCAGCUUUGGAAUAUUCUAUGUAUUGCACGACAGCGGUAAAUGACAUCCGCCGACAAGGUGCCGGUUCCAGUGCCUUCUUUUCACCAACAAAACAAUUUGCCAGAAAGCUGGCAACAGAGUGGGUCCUCAAAUGGCUUGUAAAAUUGGUGAUGCUGAUGCCAGUGACUAAGGAAGGGGCUCUACAAACUAAAAAGAGGCUUCAUGAUUCAAGGGCUAUUGUGAAUCAUUUAUGUUUCCUAUGCUACUGUUAAAAAAAAAAAAAAAAAGAAGGUAAAAUUCAUUGGUUUAACCCUGACAUGCUCUUAAUAUUUCAUGUCUUGACAAUGAUCUGGGUGGAUUUUUAUUCAGACCAACAAUUUCCUCAUAAUAAGUCUUUAAAUUUAAUAUUGAACUAUGGAUCCAUUUAGGAUACAUCACUAACCCAUUGGACACAAAUGAAUGGAUGAUUAUGUUCAUAAGAAGAGCAAGAAUAUGUAUUUUUUAGGCUUUACAACACCGAGUUUUAGAGAAAACAUCUGUUAUAGCAUGAUAUUGUGUUCUGUUUGACCAUAUGAAUCUCAGAACAAAUCUAUGUUAGGUUUUUCUGUGGUACAGGAUGACUUCAUCAAAUUGAGUGGCCAAUGGAUGUGGCCAUGAACCAUAAAAUCUUGGAUUAGAACUUCCUUCCUUCAGCCAAAGCACUGAAGAUGGGUCAUAGAUGGUUCUUCCACUGAGGCAAUAAACGAGUGGCUAAAGAAAAAGCAUUAAAAUGAUUGAAUGACCUAGCCAGUCUCCAGACUUCAGUCCUACAGAAAAUCAGUGUAGGAAGCUGAAACUUUGAGUUGCCAAGCAGCAACCAAGAAACCUAAAGGAUAUUGAGGGUUCCUAUAAAGAGGAGGGGGCUAAAAUGCCACCUGAGAUAUGUGCAAAUCUGGUGACCAACUACAAGAAACAUCUAUCUGCUGCUCUUGCUAAGAAAUACCAAGUCAUGUUUUGCUUGGGGAUAUUUCACUAUGCAUAUUUCACUCAUUGACAUGCAAAUCAGUUCAUAACAUUUAUGUAAUGUUUUUUCUGGAGUUUUUGUUUAUUUUCUGUUUUUUUUCCCUAUUAAA